UACGUAGGGGGCAAGCGUUAUCCGGAAUUAUUGGGCGUAAAGAGUACGUAGGUGGCAACCUAAGCGCAGGGUUUAAGGCAAUGGCUCAACCAUUGUUCGCCCUGCGAACUGGGAUGCUUGAGUGCAGGAGAGGAAAGCGGAAUUCCUAGUGUAGCGGUGAAAUGCGUAGAUAUUAGGAGGAACACCAGUGGCGAAGGCGGCCUUCUGGACUGUAACUGACACUGAGGUACGAAAGCGUGGGGAGCAAACAGG
rnacentral:rRNA from 1 species